UACGUAGGGUGCAAGCGUUGUCCGGAAUUAUUGGGCGUAAAGAGCUCGUAGGCGGUUUGUCGCGUCUGCUGUGAAAUCCCAGGGCUUAACCCUGGGCCUGCAGUGGGUACGGGCAAACUAGAGUGCGGUAGGGGAGAUCGGAAUUCCUGGUGUAGCGGUGAAAUGCGCAGAUAUCAGGAGGAACACCGGUGGCGAAGGCGGAUCUCUGGGCCGUAACUGACGCUGAGGAGCGAAAGCGUGGGGAGCAAACAGG
rnacentral:rRNA from 1 species